CAGAGUCCUGCUCUGCCCAGCGGGGACAUGCUGGAUGUAAAUCACGGGGUGCUGGGGUCAGCGUCCUGCCCUGGAGCCGGGAAUACCGGGGUCGGAAAGGCGAAGUGUAACCCACCCGUGGUUAAUCUUCCCACACCGCGGAGUUUCCGAGCAGGCGAUGAGGACUAUAAGAGUGGGACUGAGGCACGGGCAGGGCAGAAGCCAUGGAGGGAGCCUGGAGCACUGCACACACUGAGACCUCACUGCCAGCCGAAAGGGCCAGCUUAUCCUGUUCCCAGUGUGUCUGUCCUCACCAGCCAGGGCUGAUGUCACCUUCAUUUCUUAUCCAAUGCCCCAUAUUUACGAAUGCAGACGUGGACCGGGGACUUGUCCCCACCGUCUGCUUCCAUGGGUAGAGCCCACAGCCCAGCUGCAAGGUGAAGGAUGGAGACCUUGCUGACACUUCUCCUCUCUCCCUGUGCACCACUGCCCUCCACCCACCGGAGGAAGCCACAGCAUGGAGCUCUGCUUGGAAAGGAAGUGAGAGGGAGACAGCAGGACGUCAGUGAGAGUUGGCAGCAACAUUAUCUGCUUUCCAGCUGGGGUGGGACACUCCUGCUGGCACAGAGGAGGUCUGCUGUCCCUCCUCUCACAGGAGUGUUUCAUGGUUGGGAGGUACCAAAUAACUCCCGUAAAAUGCUGUCCCAGGUACGCUCUGCUUCACUCUGCCAAUGGGACAGGAAUUUUGGUAUUUCUGCAACAGCCUUACUGUCUAUCUUCUU